CCCGGGGCGGGGUGCCGUCUGGGUGCGGCCCCAAGGCCUGGGGAGGGUGCGCGCGUCCAGUUCAGUUGUGUUAAGCGGCUGCUAAGCCGGAGGCUGGGCGCAGGACGUUCAUUCCUUUAUUCAUUCAUUCGUGGCCGCAGCAGCCUUCCCACACCCCGCAGAGCAGGGCGACCUCGGAGCCUUCCAGCCCUGCCCCGGACGCGCCCAGGGCCUUCGCACGGAUCGCUGGCCCUGUGAGGGCCUCAGCUUCUUUAUCUUCACCUCCAUUUGACAGACGAGGAAGCUGCGGCUCGGAGAAGCCUGCCUGUUUGAGCCAAGAGUAAAUGGGAUGCGGAGGGAGGAACCGGUAUCGCGGGAUGAGAAAGGCUUCGGAGACUGCAGGGAGCCGCCAGCCCCGGGGCGGCGUCCUCGGCCCUCGGCGGAAGAGGGGGCCCAGCUGGGUCCCGGUUCUAGCAGCGGCCUCCUCUGCGGAUCCAGCUGGGACCUGGGAGGGGGGCGUGGAGGUACAGGCCCGGCCGCCGCCGCGCGCCCUAGCUGGUGUGAGCUAAUUGGACGGUGCUGAUAAAGGCUGGGCCGCCCCGGGCCCUCGGCCUCCGAUAACAUCGUGGUGUUCGCAGGUGCUGACAUCCCUGCUGGCUCCGGCAGGCUGGCUAGCGCCGCGUUACCAAAUCGCAGUAAUUGAGAUUAAUUUGGGGGCCAAUUGGGUCAGCCCUCGCAGGCACCCAUUAAUUAGUGGGGGAGCUGGAGCCGCUGGGGGGGCGGUGCAGAGAGCCCGGGCUGGGUAGGAGUCCCCGGGCACUCGCCGGCCUGAGCCCCCUCCGCCUCGUACCCCCUCUGGCCACCCCGUGCCGAGCGCCUCCGCCCAGCCCAGGACGGAGGGGGACCUUUGGGUCCCCAGGGUUAAAGGGCUCAUUACCAGGGUGGGGGAGGGGCUUUGGACAUCAAACAGCUCUUGCAAAACUUCCAGAUGAGUUAAGUGCAAAUGAAUUUGGAGCAGACAAUGAGGUUCCCUUUAGAGACACCUGGGCAGAAAAAUGAAGGGAAAAGUGCCCCAGGGAGAGCUCAUUUGGGUUUUUUUUUUUUUUCCUCCUGAACCCAAAACACACAGGGAAAAACAAACCCACCCGUCUAUACCAGGUGCCAGAGGCGGGCAGGCGUACCCUGACGCAGUGCUGUGCUGGCUGCAUGCGGGGUACACACACGGAGCCGAGGGCAGCGGCUCGGACGAGUGCGCAGAGGCAGAAGUGCUGGGCACGCAUGUGUGGAGGUGUCCCGGGCCUGGAUGGCACUGGGAUGGAGCGAGAGAGGGUGAGGGCAGGGCUGAGGUGAGGGGGCCAGGGGCUGCCCCUGGCACCUCCUGGCUACUCCCGCGCUCCGGGCCCAGGGUGGCCCAGGCACUGGCCGAGCAGCUGAGGUGUCUGUGGGGGACCAGGGCUCUGCAUGCCCCACCUGCUGCCUGACUUGCUCUGGCUAAUUGCCCAGGUGUUGUGUUUUCCCCUUGAAUCUCAGAGGGACAAAAGCGGGUUGAGUCACCGGGAACCGGCCCCGCUUCCACCCACUCUGGAGCCCUGCCUUGCCCCACCCAGGGGAUCUGAGGACCCAGAGGUGCAGGCGGCUGGGGCCUGGCCCGGGUUGACCUCAGGGAGCCGGGGACCCUGCUGUGCCUUCCAGGUGUCCCCACUGAUGGCCAGCACCCCAAUGGCCCAGGGUGUGUGACCUCCUUGAGGGCCCUAAUGGAACUGCCUCAUCUCUACAGCGCAUUUGCAAUUCAUGGCUCCAGCUGAGAUUGCAUUAGGGCCUGGCUGUCACUUGUGAUGAAUGUCGCUUGUUUUCCAGAAAAAAGCGGGCCCUGGAUGCAGAGUGACAGAGCCUCAGGAGGCAGCUGCCCUACCCUGGCCUAAAGACCAGGGCAUGGCUGGUCUCCCCAGUGGUCUCGGGACUGCUUCUCCCGGGGCUCUCAGGGGCCCUGCAGGUCACCAUGCUUUCUGGAUUCCCUGUCCCGCAGUGUUCCCCCAGCAGCCCUGCAGGGGCCUCUGCCUGAGUGGCCCCACUGGACAGAUGGGCAAACUGAGUUUGUGAGAAGAGAGAAGGUAGAUGAAAGUGCGUGAACUGCAGGCAACCUGGGGCGAGGACCCAGCAUUUGGAGGCAACAAAAAGUCCUGCAAGGAGUCCUGGAGAUGAUCAGGAAGGUCAGCUGACAGAGAGGAAGAGGAAUCCCGUGUCUGCCCCAGGGCUCCCCAUGGCUUGCCUGGGCUUGCCUCUGCUUGCCCUUUCUCCCUGACAUAUCUGACACCCUGGCUCUGAUGGGGACAGAAAGAGGGAAUUCCCACCCAUAACCAGGCCAGAGGACAGAUGGCCGGGUGUGGGAAUUACCUGCAGUCUCAGCUGCGGCCCUCUUUCAUGUCCCCUGCUCUCUGCUUCUCGGAGUCAGUGUUCCCCAGGCCUUUUGCAACUGUGAAGCCUGGACAAGCCUCCUUGGUUCCCUGCUCUCUCUCAAGAACUUACACUGGCUCCCACUUUGCCACCAGUUUCCCAAAUUGUAUUCCAUUUUUAUCCCUGCUCCUGUCCUUAACAUUUGGGAGGCACAGCCUGGCAGAGCAGCAGCCAGACAAAAAUAAUUCCACCCAUGGGUGACUUCUAGGCCCAUUCAUUGGGGAAAGAACAACGGCUCACCUGGGGGCAGCUUUGAUCUUGUGCCCUCUCAUCUCUGUAACUUGACACAAUUCGGGCAGAAGUAGGUGACUAGAUCAUGCGAAUGCCCUGGUCACAGAUGAGGAAAUUGAGGCUGGGGGCUCAUGGCAAGAGGUAGGGAAGGGCAGGGAUGUACCCUAUACAGGUGCAAAUUCUCUAUGAUGAUGAGCCAUAUAUCAUUAUGUAUGCCUAAAAUGUACCAGUACAUGUUGUGCUAUUAAAAAAAAAAAAGGUAGGGGCCCUGUGUCCCCUCCUGCCAGAA